GCUGUGCUCAGUUCCCCCUCCGUCCAAGCACUCCCCUCUCCGGCUGGCUCCUGCCCCAUCUCCAGGCAGGCCCCAGGCCAGGGCUCAGGCUAAACAACACGCCCUCUCCUUUCCUGCAUCUCAAAAAUGGCCCCAAGCUGUAUUUAGCUGCCUCCUGUUCCCUCCUGGGGUCUCCUGGGGCCUCCCUACAAAAGGGUGCUGGGCGGUGCAUUCGUCCCUCUACUCUCACCCGUCACCCCAGCCUCCAGGGAGGGCUCAGGGGUCACCUCUGUCCUCCAGGCCGUGGAGGGGGUUAGGCGGCAGCCUGAGUAUCAGCGUAAGUAACAUGCAGAAUGCCGCAGGCUGAUUUCCCGUUCCUGGGCAGACAUGCUGGCCUUGCUGUGUCCCACGUAAAUGCACACAUAUUGGUGUAUCUUUGCACUGUUUUGAUUAAGCUGUAUCCGUGUGAGCAACACAUCUAUCAACACCCACGUGCUCAUCCCAGCGUGGAAGUUCCCCGAGGUGGGGCCAGUGGGCACCUUGGAGCCGCAGCUGGAGGGCCAAGUGGUCUACCCUCUGGUCAGGAGACAGUGAAAUGGGAGGGGAGCUGUGACCUGCCCAGGGACGCCCCAAUACGCCAGGGACAGAAGCUGACGCUAGAGCCCCUGCUUUAGCUGCAGCCCCAGAACCAGCUCUCUCCUUCCAGAGGAUGGAGGAGACGUCUGACGGUGAUGGCGGCAACGAGAGUCGCAGUGAGGGAGGGUCUUUCCUUCCUUCCGUGUUUGCACUCCCGGGAGUGGACACAGACUUGACCCCAGGGCCCUGACACCCGCCUGCUCGCUCGGAUACCUGAGAGCUCCCAGGAGCCAAUCCUGCAUUUGUCUUGGGGGAGAAGCAGCGAGACAGAGCCCCAGGCCUGCGGGGCCUCGCACACCCUCGCAGCCCACCUCCGGCAGCGCCCCACC